CUGAGAGACGAGCGAUCGCCUCUGAUCGCGUGGCAGAAAUCAGCAGAGGGCAUAGUAGGUUCGCCCGUGAACCGAAGGCC
rfam:Marinobacter sp. JG233 contig1, whole genome shotgun sequence.